rnacentral:rRNA from 1 species
GCUUCAGUGUCUAAGGGCGUAUGGUGGAUGCCUUGGCAGGAAGAGGCGAUGAAGGACGUAGCAGCCUGCGAUAAGCUUCGGGGAGCUGGCAAGCAAGCUUUGAUCCGGAGAUUUCCGAAUGGGGCAACCCCAUGCAGUGAUAAAUUGCAUGACUCCGCAUAGCAAUAUGCGGGGAGCAAACCUGGUGAAGUGAAACAUCUCAGUAACCAGAGGAAAAGAGAAUAAUUUUAUUCCCUGAGUAGUGGCGAGCGAAAUGGGAAAAGCCUAAACUCCUUGCUUUGAAGCGGGACAACGAGCGUUGCAUCGAAAGGUGUAAUGCCGCGUGUUUCGUGGAAGGCUCAAGGGCUAAAAAAGCGAGGAGUGUAGUAAGUUGGUCAUGAUCGCUGCCUUGAUGGCGAGGUAAGGUCUACAAAGCGUAGCUUCCCUAGUAGAAUCCGCUGGAAAGCGGAACCAAAGAGGGUGACAGUCCCGUACGCGAAAGGGGUUAUCGCCUUACUAUGAUCAUACUUGAGUACCACGGGACUCGUGAAAUCCCGUGGGAAUCCAGCGCGACUAUGCGCUAAGGCUAAAUACUUCUUCCUGACCGAUAGUGAACCAGUACCAUGAGGGAAAGGUGAAAAGUAGGCCGGUGAGGCCGGUGAAAUAGAACCUGAAACUAUACGCUUACAAGGAAUCGGAGUCCCGUUAGAAAAAAACAUCUGAGUCAAUUACAAGAGAUAAGGUUAUUUAAUAGAAUUACCUUUUUUCUGAGUUGAAGCUCGGCAGUUUUUUUCUAACGGGAUGACGGUGUUCCUAUUGAAGAAUGAGCCAACGAGUUUGCUUUACGUUGCAAAGUCUAAGUCCUACGGGACGGAGGCGCAGGGAAACCGAGUCUGAAAGGGCGACCGAGCUAAUAGUCUACAGUCCGUUGUUCACAGUUUUAUUGUGCUUCAAUGGCUGUGCACUAUUAACUCAAAAGCAGCGUAAACAAGACCCGAAACCCGGUGAGCUAACCAUGGACAGGGUGAGCCCCGCAGAAAUGCGGGGGGAGGCCCGAACCCAUAUGCUGUGCAAAACAUUGGGAUGAUCUGUGGUUAGGGGUGAAAUUCCAAUCGAACUGGGUAAUAGCUGGUUCUCCCCGAAAUAGCUUGUGGGCUAGCCUCAAGGAUUGCGUACGGAGGUAGAGCACUGAAUCGAUUUCUGCGGCGCAAGCCGUAGAAUCGAAUCAACCUCCGAAUGCCGUACGUGUACCUUGGGAGUCAGAGUAUGGGGGCUAAGCUCCAUCACUCAAAAGGGAUACAGCCCAGAUCUUCGUCUAAGGUCCCUAAAUUGCCGCUCAGUGUAAAAGGAAGUGGUGCGGCUCAAACAACCAGGAGGUUGGCUUAGAAGCAGCCACCCUUUAAAGAAAGCGUAACAGCUCACUGGUCGAGCCGUGCCGCGCCGAAAAUGAACCGGGGCUUAAGUGGCAUACCGAAGACAAGAGUCCCCGACUUUACGUCGGGGGCGGUAGGGGAGCAUUCUUGCCAGCGCUGAAGUGGUAGGCGUGAGCCGCCAUGGAGUGGCAAGAAGAGAGAAUGUUGGCAUAAGUAGCACAAAUGAAGGUGAGAACCCUUCACACCGUAAACCCAAGGUUUCCUGGGCAACGCAAAUCGUCCCAGGGUUAGCCGGUCCUAAGCCGAGGUCGAAAGGCGUAGGCGAUGGACAGCAGGUUAAUAUUCCUGCGCUGCCGGAAGAGUCACUCUAAAGUGCGCUUUCCCGUAGUUCUCGCGUGCUUUUGGUUAUGCACGUCCUCGCAAGAGGUAAUGUGAAGCCGCAAGGUGGAGCAAAUGAGAGCGAAAGGGGAGCCGAGAAAAGCUUUGGAGCCCUGUCUUCUGGUAUCCGUACCGUAAACCGACACAGGUGGGUGGGCACAAGUGUGCCAAGGUGAACGAGAGAACCCUCGUUAAGGAACUCGGCAAAAAAGUGGCCGUAACUUCGGGAUAAGGCCUCCCCGACAGCCGUGAGAUUAUAUCAAAGCGGAGGUCGGGGCGCAGCAAGCGUCUCUCAAGUGACUGUUUACCAAAAACAUAGGUCCCUGCGAAGUCGUAAGACAAUGUAUAGGGGCUGAUGCCUGGCCAGUGUCAGAACGUUAAGAGGAGAGGUCAUUCCGCCGUUGAGGCGGAGGCAGCCUUGAAUUUAAGCGCUGAUGAACGCCGGCGAUAACUAUAAUCGUCCUAAGGUAGCGAAAUCCCUUGUCGGGUGAACAAUGUUUCCUGGGCGGAAACACUCGCCCGAAUGCUGUGGCGACAUGGCAUAAGUACGCCGACUCAUAACGGUGGAAAUCCUAUGAUAUAAUAGGACAAUACCGUGGGAAGUCCUCCGAUAGACAUCGGAGUGACCCCGUAACGACUGAUCCGAAAGGAGAGGUCCCGAUAGCCAUCGGGACAACACGUCGGCUCUUACUUAUACAAGGCAAUCUAUGGAGAUCGCGUCUUACAUAACCGGGUUCAUUGAUGGUGAGGGAAGUUUCUUAGUUUCGUUUUCUAUUCGUCCUAAGCUGAAAAUUGGCAUUGAAGCUCGUCCGAGUUUUAGUGUCAGUCAGCAUGAACGAAGCAAAGCGAUACUUGAGGAGCUUCAACGCUUCUUUGAUUGUGGAGGUAUACGAUUCGAUGCGCAUGACCAAACUUAUAAAUACGAGGUAAGAAGCCUCGCUGAACUUAUAAGCAAAAUCAUUCCGCAUUUCAAUCAAUAUACAUUGCACACUUCAAAGCGCGAUGAUUUUCAACUAUUCUCGAAGAUAUGCGAACUCAUGAAAAUAAAAGAGCAUCGCACUGACCAUGGAAUACGACAAAUCAUUGACCUCGCCUAUCAGAUGAACAAUUUAGGAGCAAGAAGAUAUACCAAAGAUGAUCUCCUAAGGAUUGUCAGUAAGAUGAAUGUAUAGUCUAAACAUCAUGGCAACAUGAUGAACAGAUGGAGUUCCGACCCGCACGAAUGGCAUAACAACUUGAGAACUGUCCCAACGAGGGACUCGGCGAAAUUACAAGACUUGUGAAGAUGCAAGUUACCCGCGGCUAGACGAAAAGACCCCGUGAAGCUUUACUGUAGCUUGGCCUUGAGGUAGGGUAUGGAAUGUUUAGCGUAGGUGGGAGCCCAAAAGGCGCCAAUGAAACACCACCCUUUCUAUGUUUUACUCCUAACCUUUGCGCCUGAAUCGACGCGAAGGGACAGGGCCUGGUAGGCAGUUUAUCUGGGGCGGAUGCCUCCUAAAAGGUAACGGAGGCGUUUACAAAGGUCGGCUUAGCUCGGAUGGAAAUCGAGCAUGACGUGCAAACGCAAAAGCCGGCUUGACUGCAAGUCCUACAAGACGAGCAGAGACGAAAGUCGAAGUUAGUGAUCCGACGGUCCCUCAUAGGAGGGCCGAAGCUCAACGGACAAAAGCUACUCCGGGGAUAACAGGCUGAUCUCCCCCAAGCGUCCACAGCGACGGGGAGGUUUGGCACCUCGAUGUCGGCUCAAAAAAGGGUCGCUGCUCGAGUAAUCGAGCAUGAAAAACAACGAGCUCAUAACGGUGGACUCCAUAUGGUACAAUAGAAUCCAGAAUCAU